GGCGAACGCUGGCGGCGUGCUUAACACAUGCAAGUCGAACGGAAAGGCCUCUUUCGGGGGGUACUCGAGUGGCGAACGGGUGAGUAACACGUGAGUAACCUGCCCUUGACUUUGGGAUAACUUCAGGAAACUGGGGCUAAUACCUGAUAGGAGCUCCUGCUUCAUGGUGGGGGUUGGAAAGUUUCGGCGGUUGGGGAUGGACUCGCGGCUUAUCAGCUUGUUGGUGGGGUAGUGGCUUACCAAGGCUUUGACGGGAAGCCGUCCUGAGAGGGUGACACGCGACACUGGCACUGAGGGAAGGCAGCGAUGCGUAAGGGAGGCAGAAGUGGGGAAUAUUGAACAAUGGGUGGAGGCCUGAUGCAGCAGCGCCGUGUGCGGUAUGGCCGCUUUCGGGUGGUAGACAGCUUUCGCUCAUGACGAAGGUUUGUGUGACGGUAGUGGGUAAAGAAGCACCGGCUAACUACGUG
rnacentral:rRNA from 1 species